rnacentral:rRNA from 1 species
GAGUUUGAUCCUGGCUCAAAUUGAACGCUGGCGGCAGGCCUAACACAUGCAAGUCGAGCGGCAGCGGGAAGAUAGCUUGCUAUCUUCGCCGACGAGCGGCGGACGGGUGAGUAAUACCUGGGGAUCUGCCCAAUCGAGGGGGAUAACAGUUGGAAACGACUGCUAAUACCGCAUACGCCCUACGGGGGAAAGGAGGGGACCUUCGGGCCUUCCGCGAUUGGAUGAACCCAGGCGGGAUUAGCUAGUAGGUGAGGUAAUGGCUCACCUAGGCGACGAUCCCUAGCUGUUCUGAGAGGAUGGACAGCCACACUGGAACUGANACACGGUCCAGACUCCUACGGGAGGCANCNUGGGGAAUAUUGGACAAUGGGGGAAACCCUGAUCCAUNAUGCCGCGUGUGUGAAGAAGGCCUUUGGGUUGUANAGCANUUUCAGUGGGGAGGAAAG